rnacentral:rRNA from 1 species
AUUGAACGCUGGCGGCAGGCCUAACACAUGCAAGUCGAACGAGUGGCGGACGGGUGAGUAAUGUCUGGGAAACUGCCUGAUGGAGGGGGAUAACUACUGGAAACGGUAGCUAAUACCGCAUACCAUCGGAUGUGCCCAGAUGGGAUUAGCUAGUAGGUGGGGUAAAGGCUCACCUAGGCGACGAUCCCUAGCGGGUCUGAGAGGAUGACCAGCCACACUGGAACUGAGACACGGUCCAGACUCCUACGGGAGGCAGCAGAGGGGAAUAGUGCACAGUGGGCGAAAGCCGGAUGCAGCCAUGCCGCGUGUAUGAAGAAGGCCUUCGGGUGUUAAAGUACUUUCAGCGGGGAGGCGUUACCCGCAGAAGAAGCACCGGCUAACGCCGUGCCAGCAGCCGCGGUAAUUC